AGCGAACGCUGGCGGCGUGCCUAACACAUGCAAGUCGAACGAAGGUUAUUAUUGAAAAUUGACUUCGGUUGGUGGACGAUUUUAACUUAGUGGCGAACGGGUGAGUAACACGUAGGUAACCUACCCUAAGGCCUGGGACAACCACUGGAAACGGUGGCUAAUACCGGAUAAGACCACAUAUUGAAAAAUGUGUGGGAAAAGGAGCAAUUUACCUUAGGAUGGGCCUGCGGACUAUCAGGUAGUUGGUAGGGUAAUGGCCUACCAAGCCAAAGACGGUUAACCGGUCUGAGAGGAUGGACGGUCACACUGGGACUGAGACACGGCCCAGACUCCUACGGGAGGCAGCAGUGAGGAAUUUUGCGCAAUGGGGGAAACCCUGACGCAGCGACACCGCGUGGAGGAAGAAGGUCUUCGGGUUGUAAACUCCUUUUGUAGGGGAAGAUAAUGACGGUACCCUAUGAAUAAGCCACGGCUAACUCUGUG
rnacentral:rRNA from 1 species